UACGUAGGGUGCAAGCGUUGUCCGGAAUUAUUGGGCGUAAAGAGCUCGUAGGCGGUUUGUCGCGUCUGCUGUGAAAAUCCAGGGCUUAACCCUGGACCUGCAGUGGGUACGGGCAGACUGGAGUGCGGUAGGGGGAGAUCGAAUUCCUGGUGUAGCGGUGAAAUGCGCAGAUAUCAGGAGGAACACCGGUGGCGAAGGCAGCUCUCUGGUACGUGACUGACGCUGAGACGCGAAAGCGUGGGGAGCAAACAGG
rnacentral:rRNA from 1 species